rnacentral:rRNA from 1 species
GAGUUUGAUCUUGGCUCAGAUUGAACGCUGGCGGCAGGCCUAACACAUGCAAGUCGAGCGGUAGAGAGAAGCUUGCUUCUCUUGAGAGCGGCGGACGGGUGAGUAAUGCCUAGGAAUCUGCCUGGUAGUGGGGGAUAACGCUCGGAAACGGACGCUAAUACCGCAUACGUCCUACGGGAGAAAGCAGGGGACCUUCGGGCCUUGCGCUAUCAGAUGAGCCUAGGUCGGAUUAGCUAGUUGGUGAGGUAAUGGCUCACCAAGGCGACGAUCCGUAACUGGUCUGAGAGGAUGAUCAGUCACACUGGAACUGAGACACGGUCCAGACUCCUACGGGAGGACAGCAGUGGGGAAUA